CGGGCUUAGUGUACAAGUGGACACGUUUCACACAACCAUUUUUUAGUAGGAAUAGAUCUUUACAUCACAUUACUUUCACGAUAUAUUCUGUUUGAAAUCCUUUUACGAUGGGAAGUUACCUUGAAUUAGUAUUUUGCAUUUCAACGGUUGUAAGUGUUUUCAUACUUACUUUGCCUGGUCCUGCAGUUUCAGAAGACAAUGUGUGGUGACAACUGCAUGUCCUUCAUUGCUUAAAGAUAGCGAACUGCAAAAAUACAGUGCACAGUGAAUAGUAUUGGUAUAUCCACGCAAAUUGCGAUUAUUCCGCUUCUACUGUGAUGUUCGAGUUGUUCACGACCUAAUGGGUGCUGAUCACCUUUGUGCAGCAGACUACCGUGUGACUUGUCUUCUAGUAAAGGAAAAAGCAUGUCGAUGUAAAAGUUCUGACGAUGGAAUAUACAGUACACAUAUAGCUUUUAGCUAACAAGACUGUGCACGAUGGAAAAUUUGUAAAGUGUAUUGUUGACUGUAUUGGAGGUAAUGUAUCGUAUGGGGACAAUGGCCAUUGCAACGGUCUUCAAUUUGCGCAGUGAUUGUUCAUCUUCAAUUCAUGCUUGAAGCUUGUAAUGUCUUAAGGAGAAGGCUGAGCCUAAGUUAAUCAUAAACUAUCUUAUUGUGAAUGUGGUAAUUGUACGAGAUAUGAACAAUCUUUCUGUAGCAACUCAACGUGUAUAUUUGCCUUUGCAAACAUUUUAUGUCAGUGGGAAGAUGAGGAUGACUUCUGGAGAAGACCAUUUCAACUUUUAAAUAAAGACAGAUUUCCAGAGAGCUGUUAAUUAUAUAAAACUAUUCAAUUGGAAACCUAAUUAUUUGUUUUAAAAACUAUGACAACGUGCAGGUUUGAUGAGGUGUGAAAGACUGAUCAUUAGCAAGACUGACCUUUGGAAAAAAGUAUAUUGCAGUUUUCAAAAAUGAUUGUUCUGUUUAUUUUUAAGUUUCCAGUAGUGGAGUCAGUAUUACAUCGGCUAUAAUUAAUUUGUGAAUUUUGGCUAUGACAGGCUGGCAUAAGGGGAGCUGACUCCUACAUCGUGAAGACGUAGGCCAUCGUAUACGUCUCCUGAGACAGCAAAAGGCAAACAUAAAAAUCGUCAAUACAGUUCAAUUUAAAUUUAUGAAUAUGUCAAUAUAGAUCACCAGUCGGUGAGCUAAUAGAAUGUUUGAGAUGCAAUGGUAUUAAGUAUUCAACUACAGCUAUGUACAUAUUAUAUACCCAAGAACCAGCAAUAACUCAUCAAAUGCGAACAACAAUGGAUGUAUAAAUUCUAAAGCAUUCACAUUAAAGAUGUUCAUUAUC